rnacentral:rRNA from 1 species
CUACGGAGGGUGCAAGCGUUAAGCGGAAUUACUGGGCGUAAAGCGUACGUAGGCGGUUAUUUAAGUCAGAUGUGAAAGCCCCGGGCUUAACUUGGGAACUGCAUUUGAAACUGGGUAACUAGAGUUUAGUAGAGGGGAGUGGAAUUUCAGGUGUAGCGGUGAAAUGCGUAGAGAUCUGAAGGAACACCAGUGGCGAAGGCGACUCCCUGGACUAAAACUGACGCUGAGGUACGAAAGCGUGGGUAGCAAACAGGAUUAGAAACCCCUGUAGUCC